UUUCAUUGGAUUUUCUCUACAAAGCGAAGUUGAACACAAGCAGUUCUUGGUCAUGUUCAAGGUGGUAAUUCCUCUACAUAGUGACUACUAGUGUCGGCGGCUAUAGCAUCCCUAACUUGCUUACUGUGUUUUCUAUUUUUUGAAGACUGAUCUGCCUUUAACUCGUCAGAGGACUGUUUAAAUACUGACCCAGAACAUCCAGUUGAAAAGAGAUGGGCAAAGAAAAUUUGAAUUCCCAAAUAAAUUGGGAAGCAUUGUUGGCUAGUGGAGUGCCAAUCAGCUUUGACUUCAACAUCAUGGAUCAUGUACCUGAUGGUAACUACACCUAUGUUCUUGUGGAUACCUCUGAUUCUUUUUCGCUUCAAAAUUUUCCGCAAGAUCCACCUUACCAAGAUCCAGUCGUUGACUUAACAAAACUAGUUCUUCUGCUCUUCCUGUACAAGACUCAAUUUUUCAAGAUCCAGUUGUUGAUCUUACCAAACCUACUUCUUCUAGUCUGACUCUACAAGAAUUGAUUUUUCAAGACCUUCUUGUUGAACAUACCAAACCUAGUUCUUCUAUUUUACAAACUUCUCCUCUAUCGUCCCAAAAUUCUGUUAAAAUUGACUCUCCUAAAUUGAAAAAA